UGCAAAUGAUGCAUUCUCUGGAGAUCUGAUCAACUUUGAAGCAGCUAUUCAGUCCACCUGGGAUAUUCAUACUCCGAUCAAGCACAUAUUCACCAACAGCAGCUUCAUUCCACAUGCUUUAUCUGACAUGAAUCCUUCGAUUUCCUGGCGAUUCUCCGGCAAUAUAUCUAACAUCCGCUUCAUAUCGAACAUGCUGGGAAACCCUGCACUUCAUAUCACUCCUUCCCAUUGGAUGAAUCCUGCUUCCUGUCUUUCCAAUAUCAAUCCCAAUUGUCAUGUUCUUAAUCUAUUUCUAUCAGGCCGUGAGCUCCCGUUCUGGGUCAUGAAGAGCUUCCUUACUGCCGGCUUCCACUUCUCCUAAUCUUUCUUCUAUAUUUACUUUUUCUUGUUAUUUUUAGGUUCAGAUUUGUUUUCUUCAGUCUUGUUAUCAGCUUUAGCUUUGUAUUCUUCAGCCUUUAAUAUAUCAGCCUUUCGAGGUUCUUUUUAAAAAAAAAAACGAGAAACCUCAGCGCGAGUGAAAGCAAGGCCGGAGCAAUGGCGGCAAUUGCAAGCCUUCAGAGCGCCAUGGUCUCCUUCUCCCUCAACUCCACCUCCUUCUUCGGCCAACGCCUGUCCUUCCCUCUCUCCAACUCUCCGAUUGAGGCUGUUAUUCACAGCUCAAAUGUUAUGCUCUAUUCAAAAGAACAAAAUGUAGCAAGCAGAGUGGGG